GCAGUGUCAGGAGAACGGUCUGGAAAGUCCGGCAGUAAAGGGUGAUAGCCCCGUAUCUGAAGAUGCUGUUAUUGUGAACUCGACGAGUAGGGCGGGACACGUGUUAUCCUGUCUGAAUAUGGGGGGACCAUCCUCCAAGGCUAAAUACUCCUGAUUGACCGAUAGUGAACCAGUACCGUGAGGGAAAGGCGAAAAGAACCCCGGCGAGGGGAGUGAAAAAGAACCUGAAACCGUGUACGUACAAGCAGUAGGAGCCUCUUUAUGGGGUGACUGCGUACCUUUUGUAUAAUGGGUCAGCGACUUAUAUUCUGUAGCAAGGUUAACCGUAUAGGGGAGCCGUAGGGAAACCGAGUCUUAACUGGGCGAAUGAGUUGCAGGGUAUAGACCCGAAACCCGGUGAUCUAUCCAUGGGCAGGUUGAAGGUUGGGUAACACUAACUGGAGGACCGAACCGACUAAUGUUGAAAAAUUAGCGGAUGACUUGUGGAUGGGGGUGAAAGGCCAAUCAAACCGGGAGAUAGCUGGUUCUCCCCGAAAGCUAUUUAGGUAGCGCCUCGUGAACUCAUCUUCGGGGGUAGAGCACUGUUUCGACUAGGGGGUCAUCCCGACUUACCAACUCGAUGCAAACUGCGAAUACCGAAGAAUGUUAUCACGGGAGACACACGGCGGGUGCUAACGUCCGUCGUGAAGAGGGAAACAACCCAGACCGCCAGCUAAGGUCCCAAAGUCAUGGUUAAGUGGGAAACGAAGUGGGAAGGCUCAGACAGCCAGGAUGUUGGCUUAGAAGCAGCCAUCAUUUAAAGAAAGCGUAAUAGCUCACUGGUCGAGUCGGCCCGCGCGGAAGAUGUAACGGGGCUAAACCAUGCACCGAAGCUGCGGCAGCGA
rnacentral:rRNA from 1 species